rnacentral:rRNA from 1 species
UACAUUGGGUGCAAACGUUGCUCGGAAUUAUUGGGCGUAAAGCGCACGUAGGCGGUUUGUUAAGUCGGAUGUGAAAUCCCUCGGCUCAACUGAGGAAGUGCAUCCGAAACUGGCAAGCUUGAGUACGAAAGAGGGUCGCGGAAUUCCCGGUGUAGAGGUGAAAUUCGUAGAUAUCGGGAGGAACACCGGUGGCGAAGGCGGCGACCUGGGUCGAUACUGACGCUGAGGUGCGAAAGCGUGGGGAGCAAACAGG